GUCGGGGUGGCAGAGUCUGGUUUAAUGCGGUAGCUUGCUAAGCUACUGGGCUUUACCGCCCUCCCGGGUUCAAAUCCCGGCCCCGGCG
rnacentral:tRNA from 2 species